GACGAACGCUGGCGGCGUGCUUAACACAUGCAAGUCGAACGAAGAGCGAUGGAUGCUUGCUUCUAUCAAUCUUAGUGGCGUACGGGUGAGUAACGCGUAAUCAACCUGCCCUUCAGUGGGGGACAACAGUUGGAAACGACUGCUAAUACCGCAUACGAUCUAAUCUCGGCAUCGAGGAUAGAUGAAAGGUGGCCUCUACAUGUAAGCUAUCACUGAAGGAGGGGAUUGCGUCUGAUUAGCUAGUUGGAGGGGUAACGGCCCACCAAGGCGAUGAUCAGUAGACGGUCUGAGAGGAUGGACCGCCACAUUGGGACUGAGACACGGCCCAGACUCCUACGGGAGGCAGCAGUGGGGGAUCUUCCGCAAUGGACGGAAGUCUGACGGCGCAACGCCGCGUGAGUGAUGACGGCCUUCGGGUUGUAAAGCUCUGUUAAUCGGGACGAAAGGCCUUCUUGCGAAUAGUGAGAAGGAUUGACGGUACCGGAAGAGAAAGCCACGGCUAACUACGUG
rnacentral:rRNA from 1 species